AUUAUAAUACCAGAUUCAAGACUUACUCAUUCAUUACAUUUACAGAUUUUUCUUCAACAUAGACACAGUCAUGCCACACAGGUUGAUGAAUAUAUUUCUCUUCACAAUAUUCAUUCUUGAGUGCAGAUCAGAGGACACAGUUGAUCAGCCAGACAAACAUGUGACUGAAGCUGAAGGAAGAUCAGUAACAUUACAGUGUAAAUAUAAAACAGAUUCAGCACAAGAAGAUUUAUUCUGGUACAUCCAGAGAGCGAAUGACUUUCCUAAAUACAUCCUGAGGAGAAGCAAAUAUGGAGGAGACAAUGGCACUGAGUUCCAGGAGAGAUUUCACUCUAAACAUUCAUCAGAUUCAGUUCCGCUGACAAUCAAGAACCUACAUGUGUCUGACUCUGCUGUGUACUUCUGUGCUCUGAAGCCCACAGUGAGAAAACUCAAGUCAAACCACAUACAAAAACACAUAGGGUCACAGCAAUGUCUGUGCAUAAUUGUCUUGCAAAGAUGUGAACAACUGGAUUAUGAUACAUGA